AAGUCGUAACAAGGUUUCCGUAGGUGAACCUGCGGAAGGAUCAUUACCGAGUGCGGGUCCUUUGGGCCCAACCUCCCAUCCGUGUCUAUUGUACCCUGUUGCUUCGGCGGGCCCGCCGCUUGUCGGCCGCCGGGGGGGCGCCUCUGCCCCCCGGGCCCGUGCCCGCCGGAGACCCCAACACGAACACUGUCUGAAAGCGUGCAGUCUGAGUUGAUUGAAUGCAAUCAGUUAAAACUUUCAACAAUGGAUCUCUUGGUUCCGGCAUCGAUGAAGAACGCAGCGAAAUGCGAUAACUAAUGUGAAUUGCAGAAUUCAGUGAAUCAUCGAGUCUUUGAACGCACAUUGCGCCCCCUGGUAUUCCGGGGGGCAUGCCUGUCCGAGCGUCAUUGCUGCCCUCAAGCCCGGCUUGUGUGUUGGGUCGCCGUCCCCCUCUCCGGGGGGACGGGCCCGAAAGGCAGCGGCGGCACCGCGUCCGAUCCUCGAGCGUAUGGGGCUUUGUCACAUGCUCUGUAGGAUUGGCCGGCGCCUGCCGACGUUUUCCAACCAUUCUUUCCAGGUUGACCUCGGAUCAGGUAGGGAUACCCGCUGAACUUAA
rnacentral:rRNA from 1 species